CAGGCAGGGGGGCACAGCAGGGGUGGGAGGUGGGGUGGAGGCUGGGGUCAGCUUCUGCCUGGACCUGGUCGGCUCCGUGGCAUCUCCUUGUCCUCUGCCUGGUUUGAGGCCAUGUUGGACCAAGCCUGGCCCCCCUACCCUGUGCUCUGUGCCCCAUCAUGUGGCCCCAGCGUGCCCAGGCUGAACCACAGGCGGCCCUGGGCUCUGUGGAGCAAGGGCCGUGUUGCGGUGUUUCUCUGAUGGGAGAGAAACGUUUCCUAAAAUGGAUUUGUUGGGGUGCUGAGGGUCUCUGACCAUGGGACAGAGCACCUUCCGACGGCAUCUGCAGCACUGCGUCCUGUCCUCAGGGAAGCCCUCCUCCAAAGGCCCCAGGGAUCUGCGUGCCCACUCCCACCUUCCUGGCUGUCCUUUGAGGACACAGCCGGGCCCUGCAGCUGGGGUGACAGGGAUGGGACCUGAGGCUGGGUGCAGAGGCCUCCCCACCUCGGUGUGUGAGCAGUGGGUGCAGCCCAGACGGCCCUGGAGGUGGGGCUGGGGCCAGUGGUGCCCAUUCCCACAGGCCUGUGCCUGGAGCUCCUGGGGGCAUGGUGCCGUCUGCAGAUCUUUAGGGAGAGACUCUGGCUGGGGAGCUUGGGCCUCUCCUGGCACCAUGGGGUCAUUCUCUUUGGCUUUUACCCCACCAGGGCAGGUGGCACAGGGAACGGGGUCCCGUUCUGUGCCUGGCUGAAUGGGCUCUGUCAGCAGCCUGCUGGCCCUCCACAGAGCUGAGGCCAGCCACCGGCCCCAUGCCUUCUAACAGCUCCGGACCUGCGCCACGGGCCCCGCUAAGCAAAUGCACGGCACCAGGCGUGUUCUGUGUUCCUAAGCCCCACACAGUAGGGCAGGAGCAGAGAGGGUGUUAGACGUGACAACAGUCCUGUGGGCGCUGUGCUCAGCUGCUCAUCGCUGCUACAAGAGAGACAGACGACAGAAACCCUGGGUUUUUUAAAGAAACUUCUGACAAGUAAAGAAGGUUCAAGGGCAAGUGUGCUGUGCGCACACAUCCAGCCACCACCUUUGUUUCUCAGUGAGGCCACCAGCGUGGUCGUCUGCCUGUGGAAGCCCGAGGGUGGGUGUGCGUGGCCCCAACCCACAGCAGCUGGCCCUUGACCCCAACAUGGGCCUGCCUCCUGGAUGAAGCCGGCGGUGGGCAGCCAGCGAGUGAGGCUGCUCUGGGGAUUGGGGCCACACCUCGCUUGCUCCCAUACAGCCUCUCCCCAGGUGAUGCUCCCACGCCGCCCGGAGCCAGCGUCCACUGUAGGGUGACUGGAGCGUUUUAAAAGGAGAGAGCGGCAUUUCUGCAGGCGUGCUUCCUCAGGCUGGAUUCCAGAGUGCCUCGCAAGUUUUUUAUUGUGGUAAAACAUACAUAUUGCCACAUGGGCCAUUUAAACCCUUUUUGAGCGUAAGGUCUGUGGCAUGAGGUCCGUUCACUGUUGAGCGGCACAGCCACCUGCUAGUUCUGGGACGCCCCCAGACACACCACCCAGUCAGCAGGGUCCCCUGGCUUAGCUGCCUGAACUCUUUCUUGGAGCAUCCUCACAGCACAGUGGACAGAGCUGGGCACGAUGCCAAGGUCUCCACAGAUGCAAACGGGUGCUAAACACUUCACUUAGCGUCCUUUGAUUUUACUGUGAAACACCAGUGCCUGCGCCUCCUGUGUCUCCUGUGUGGGAUCAGCCGGCCGACAGUCUGGGCUUGUGUUUUGCUCCUGGAGACGUAACCCGCCCCAACCCACCCGCUCACGCACGGAGAUUCACCUGCUAUCAGCCUUGCUUCAGAAUUUGGUCCUGUGCAUACAUUUGGACCUAAUUCAAGGGUUUUGCCAGCUUCACGGUUCCUGUAGGUGUUUCCUGCAGCAACGUCCCAGCUGCUGGCUACAGGCCCUGCUGGGCUGCCUUCCUGAAGCCCCAGAACUGCCUGAGUUCCCGGACUCCACCACCAGCACCACGGGCUGCCAGCGCACCCAGUCCUGGAGCGCUCAGACGUCCCACUUCCUACCAUCAGCUGGGGGACGGAGCCUCCUCGCCGCCCUCUGGCUUCCACAAGCUGCAGCCCGAGGUCGGAAGGAACUCUCUGACCAUCCAGCGGGUAACUGCACCCCUGCGGACCUGAAAGAAGAGGACACACUGCCUGCUAAUGUCUGCUCACGGGCUGGCCUUGGACCCAGGUGUCAACAGAGUCGAGGGGCAGGACCACGUUCGCCUGGCGUGUGUGACUCCCAAGGCCGGCGGACCCUGCGGGAAGCCAG